ACUACUUCUGUACAACUGGCAUCACAUUGACUUUGUUAAUCAACAAAAGAAGGUUAAUUCUGCUUUUGCAAUACCCAUGAUAGUCAGCAGAGUAACCUUUUGCCAAUAAUCAAGUAAUGGUGACUUCUAUUCCUACAAUAGGCAUUGUGAUUUCGACUUCUGCAGCAUGAUGAGUUCUACACCUCCAAUAAGUAUGACUGGUGAAUAAGUGACUUUGGGCCAAUGUUCAAGAGAAGGCAUGACUGGUGGAUAAGUGACUGGGUUAAUCAAAAGAGAAGAUGAGUUCCAUUCUUGCAAUAUUCAUGAUAACCAGCAGAGUGACUUUGGACCAAUAAUAAAGAGAUGUUUAUUUCUAUUCCUGUAAUAGCAAAAGACAUGUUGACUUCUAUGCCUGCAAUAUGCUCGAUCAACAGCUUAAAGAGUUUUGAUCCAUCAGCAGGGGAAGGUCUGUUCUACUCCUGUGGCUGAGUGAUCCUGGGGCAAUCACAGGCGGCUGAGUGAGUUGGAUCAAGUUUGGUAGCCUGAAAGAGGACUGCACUAGUCAUCCUUUCUAAAUGAAGUGAGAUGCUAAUAAAGCAGAAUCCCCAGCUGUACACAGAUUUGUACUCUUAUUGAAGCAAAUCAGAUGCAUUUUGCUAUGUGUGUGGACAAUUUAUCAAGACAAGAGUAAAAAAAGUACUCCGUGAAAGAUGUGCGAGGCCUAUAAAGCAUACUUCAACAUACCUGUUGGGGAUGAAGACAAGCCUUGGCCACAUCAUUUCACAUGUAAACACUGUGGCAAAACUCUUGAAGGCUGGUACAGGGGAGAAAAGAGAGCCAUGAAGUUUCCUAUUCUAAGAAUUUAGCGGGAAUUGAUUGACCACUCAAGCAACCCUUCCAAACGUUCAAGCGGCAAGAGUGUGCCUCUUAUCAUGUAUCCAGACAUUCCUUCAUCCAUCACCCUGUUCCCACCCUCCAGAGAGAGAUCAGCCAUAUUCAGGAGAGAGAAGCAAGUCAGACAUCAAGGAAGAUAUUGCAGACACAGAUUACAAUUUCACAGAGGUGGCUGAGGAGAGAAAACCAUACUUCCCCAAGUAUAAAGACCUCAAUGAUCUGAUCAGAGACUUUCAUCUUAUCAUCUGAACCUCUGACAUCUAGGCUCAAGGAGUGGAACUUAUUGGGUGAAAGUGUGCAAGUCACAGAUCAGAGAAAGUGUUGUCAACAUUUUUCAAACUUCUUCAGUCGGCAAGAUGGGCCGUGCUUCUGCAACAUUGUGGCCAGUCUAUUCAAGGCUAUAGGAAUCACCGCUAACCCAAGUGAAUGGUUCCUAUUCAAAGACAGUUCAUCCAGAAGCCUCAAAGCCGUGUUGCUUCAUAAUGUGAACAAGUACCCAUCUCUCCUUAUGGUUCAUUCUGUGCACCUCAAAGGGGACUAAACUAGUGUCAAGAUGUUGCUGAGUGCCUUGAAGUAUGGCUGCGAAGUCAUUGGAGACUUUAAAAUGAAUCAUUCCUGAUGAACCUCCAAUGCAGUUUCAUGAAGUUUCCUUGUUUUCUUUGCCUCUGGGACAGCCAGGACACUAAGAUGCACUAUCAUAGAAGGGACAGGCCACAGCACACUGAGUUCUCUUUAGGGAAGAGCCACAUAAAGUGGGAACUGCUGGUAGACCCUUGGAAGGUGCUGAUGUCACCUCUGCACAUCACGUUAUGCCUCAUCAAACAAUUUGUCAUGGCUCUAGACAAGGAGUCAGCAGUUUUCAAGUAGCUCCAAGAUCUCUUUUCACAGCUGUCGGAGGCAAAGGUUAAAGCUGAUAUCUUUGUUGGACCACAGAUAAAGAAGAUCAUAGAGUGUGAAGAAUUCACCAAAAAGCUGAACAGGGGAGAAAGCAGCUUGGAAUAGUUUUGUUGCAGUGGUUCACAGCUUUCUGGGCACUCACAAGGCUGAAAACUAUGAGCAUCUACUUUAGACUCUCAUAAAGAACUAUGCCAAAAUGGGAUGCAGAAUGUUCCUUAAAGUCCGUAUCCUUAACGCUCAAGGAGAACAUGGAUGCUUACUUAGAGGAGCAAGACGAGAGCUUUCACCAUACUGGACUUUGAACAUCAUUACCAAGGACAUUAUAAUGAAAACAUGAUGGGGGACUAUAUUUGGGGGCUACUUUGAGAAAGUGAUUUGCAGUAUAGCCACAAAUCUAGAAAAUCUACUCAUUUCUGAAUCCUUUUGAGUGGUUUUGAUGUCUUUCUGUAUUUGCUGUACACAUAUAGUACUUUAACUGCUCAAAAAGAUACAAAUUCAUCUGUUUUGUCUCUAUAAAUAUAAAACUUUUAUAGGCUGUGGUCACAAAAAUCAAAGUUUGUGAUGAAUAUAGCCAUUUUGCAUAGGCUUUAGACAUAAACAGUUGAAAUAUAACACUUAGGAGCCAUGAAUAAAAAUCAUAUUACAUAGUGAAUCAAUGUUAUUUUGUAACUGUGGGACAUCUAUGCUGAAAAUCAGUUGUUCUAGCAUAGGAAGAGAGAUUUUUCUUUUUUACUCUUCAGAUGUCGUGAGUGUCAAUUCCACUAAUUACAUUAUACCAAUUCCUGGUGUGUGUAUGUGCUAGAAUUUU